UGAGAAUUGAAAACAGAUUCGAGCUUUUGAAGUUCUUAAAAUGAACAACAAAUGGAGUCAAUACCUUUACGGAGGUGUGUAAACGUUCCAUGUAGCUGUAACGAAAUUGAAUUUUGAUCAUUAGGGUGCAUCGUACUCACAACAAUUUAGAUAGGUGGAAUGGAUAGAGAUGAAAUUUUCAAUUUUGAAAAGCUUUCUUUGUAGAUUUUGUGGUCCGAUUUUGUGUAUGGAUCUAGCAUUUUUUUUGAACUUCCAAAAAUCCACCAGCAAACAAAGUGGUGAUAUUUAAAAUUGGACAUAAACACCCAAAAUCGGAAGGUAUUUAUCUAAUCUAUCAGACAUGCUAAACUAAACUACUACGCGUACGAUGCGCCCUAUUGAUCAUUUCUAAGCAUGAAAACAUGGCCGACGCAAUCAUUUUACGCUGUAGUUGAUACCCGUUGCAACGUUAGACGGUACGCAGUGCUUCGCAUUCUGUCUCUACAAAAAAUUUUCGGCCAGAAUGAAUGUGAUGCGAUAAAUUUUUACAUAGCCCAAAAUGACAUUGACAACGAUUAGUAAAUGUAGCUCUGCCUGCAGGCUGCAAUUAUACCAUUGUUUUACCUGUAUGCAUAUGUGAAAUGUGCUUGUUACAUGACCGACUGAUGCAUAUAAUCUGAACAAUUUUUUUGUCGUCUUAUUGCUUGUUCGUCGUUUUGCGAGAUACUCCCAGAAUUUACACGAAACGCUUUUAUUUUGUAUGACAUAAAAUACAUUUAUGGGCACAUUGUACCAAUAAAUUUCAUCUCUUUGAACUUAUUUUCAGCCAUCACCUGUCUGCACACAUACACGCUUAACUAUGAAAAUAUUAUAUGAUAUGGAACGCAUAGGUUCUAUUUUAGCGAACGAAAAAAAAAAUAUCUAACACUGAGUGACAACUACGUUUAUGUUAUCCCAACCUGAAAAGAGAAUGAAUGAAAACAGGAAGAAAGGUUGCGAUCAACUUGAAAAAAAAAAAAAUCUGUAUCGAGAGUGUCUCAUUGUGCUGGUGAACAUGGAUGAGUGUGGAGACAAGAAAUAUAAUCGUCAUCAGCAUCAUCGCUGUGGGCGGCUAUCACAAAACAGCCGUGAUGUUUUUAUUAUGUUUCAGAUUAUGCAAUCCAUUUCAUACGAUAUCGCGUUCAUCAAGGUGCUCGCGGAAGUGUCCUGCUUGCCAUUGCCACCGUUUAACAUUUGUACCUAUAAUACGCUGGGCGAAAUACUGCCGGAACGAAACAUGUUUUUUUUAAAUUUUUUUAACUCAUGGAGAAAAGGAAGAAAAAGAUGCGCGAUGAGCGAUGAGCGAAAUGUAAUAGGAAUAGAUGUAGAAGAACAUUGCGACGAACGACGAGAAGCGAGGGAAAAAAGGGAAAACGGUAAUAAAAACGCACGUUGACACGAUAUUAAUUUCCCAUUGUGUUUGUGUGUAUUACGGUAGUCAAAGCCAAGACACACGUGUGCAAACACAUUUCUAUUAUCUAUGCCAUUUUAUACAUACAUGCGCUAAAUUACGGUGACAACUCACAACGAUUACAUCUAUAAUUUUAUUACGAUCACUCCAUGAAAUAUGUACGUUUUGUAUGGUUUUGUUCUUGAAUGCUUUCCAAAAUGUUGGCACACAUUUCACAUACCAUGAUGGGGAUGCUGUUCGGUGUAUUCUUCCCUUUCUCUCUCUUUCCCUCUGUACAUGCAAUGUGAUAUGCAGUGUCGGUGAUGAUGACGACAACAACGGCGGCGGUGGCAACGAUGAUGACGAUGCCAAUGUAAAUUCACUAUGUCACAAGACCGUGCUUAGCACUAUAUGGAGUAGCAAUGGAACAGAAAGAAUAGAUGACAAAAGCCCAUAGCUAAUGCGUACACGAUAACAAAAAUAUGAAUGUAAAAUGGAAAUCAAGAACAUGAGCAAAUUCAUUUCAAUGUAUGCAAAUGGAAUCAACUUUUCAGCUCUCUUUUUACCGUACAACGAUUGAUAGACAUUACACGUCCUUACAAAAAGAUAUCGACGCACAACAGGCAAUUGAAUAUGCUGGAAACUUUAACGAAUUUCAAUGGUUUAUCACUUUUCUAGGUACAUAAAAAUGAGUUAUCUUCAAAAUGCAUCCCAUAGACCAUAGCUACAAAAUCAAAUAAUUCCCAAAAAUCAUUAUCGCAAAGAUUUAUUGUCGAAUGAAAAGAAAAAAAUUCAAGUUUUCAGCAUUUCUUUCGCGUGCAUGCAUAAUGUACUAAAAUUUAUAUGUUCCAAAAAAUGUACGGAAGAAUAUCGAUAUAUGAGAAAUGAAAUUGGCCUGAUAAUCGAAAAUGUCACUUCGAACAAUAAAUAAGAUUGAUGAAACUA